UACGAGAGGCCCAAACGUUAUUCGGAAUUACUGGGCUUAAAGAGUUCGUAGGCGGCGCAGAAAGUAGGGUGUGAAAGCCCUCGGCUCAACCGAGGAAUUGCGCUCUAAACUACUGUGCUUGAGGAAUCUAGAGGUGAGCGGAACUGAUGGUGGAGCGGUGAAAUGCGUUGAUAUCAUCAGGAACACCGGAGGCGAAGGCGGCUCACUGGGGGUCUUCUGACGCUGAGGAACGAAAGCCAGGGGAGCGAACGGG
rnacentral:rRNA from 1 species